rnacentral:rRNA from 1 species
AGAGUUUGAUCCUGGCUCAGGAUGAACGCCGGCGGUGUGCCUAAUACAUGCAAGUCGUACGCACUGGCCCAACUGAUUGACGGUGCUUGCACCUGAUUGACGAUGGAUCACCAGUGAGUGGCGGACGGGUGAGUAACACGUAGGUAACCUGCCCCGGAGCGGGGGGUAACAUUUGGAAACAGAUGCUAAUACCGCAUAACAACAAAAGCCACAUGGCUUUUGUUUGAAAGAUGGCCUUGGCUAUCACUCUGGGAUGGACCUGCGGUGCAUUAGCUAGUUGGUAAGGUAACGGCUUACCAAGGCGAUGAUGCAUAGCCGAGUUGAGAGACUGAUCGGCCACAAUGGAACUGAGACACGGUCCAUACUCCUACGGGAGGCAGCAGUAGGGAAUCUUCCACAAUGGGCGCAAGCCUGAUGGAGCAACACCGCGUGAGUGAAGAAGGGUUUCGGCUCGUAAAGCUCUGUUGUUGGAGAAGAACGUGCGUGAGAGUAACUGUUCACGCAGUGACGGUAUCCAACCAGAAAGUCACGGCUAACUACGUGCCAGCAGCCGCGGUAAUACGUAGGUGGCAAGCGUUAUCCGGAUUUAUUGGGCGUAAAGCGAGCGCAGGCGGUUGCGUAGGUCUGAUGUGAAAGCCUUCGGCUUAACCGAAGAAGUGCAUCGGAAACCGGGCGACUUGAGUGCAGAAGAGGACAGUGGAACUCCAUGUGUAGCGGUGGAAUGCGUAGAUAUAUGGAAGAACACCAGUGGCGAAGGGGGCUGUCUGGUCUGCAACUGACGCUGAGGCUCGAAAGCAUGGGUAGCGAACAGGAUUAGAUACCCUGGUAGUCCAUGCCGUAAACGAUGAGUGCUAGGUGUUGGAGGGUUUCCGCCCUUCAGUGCCGGAGCUAACGCAUUAAGCACUCCGCCUGGGGAGUACGACCGCAAGGUUGAAACUCAAAGGAAUUGACGGGGGCCCGCACAAGCGGUGGAGCAUGUGGUUUAAUUCGAAGCUACGCGAAGAACCUUACCAGGUCUUGACAUCUUGCGCUAACCUUAGAGAUAAGGCGUUCCCUUCGGGGACGCAAUGACAGGUGGUGCAUGGUCGUCGUCAGCUCGUGUCGUGAGAUGUUGGGUUAAGUCCCGCAACGAGCGCAACCCUUGUUACUAGUUGCCAGCAUUAAGUUGGGCACUCUAGUGAGACUGCCGGUGACAAACCGGAGGAAGGUGGGGACGACGUCAGAUCAUCAUGCCCCUUAUGACCUGGGCUACACACGUGCUACAAUGGACGGUACAACGAGUCGCAAGCUCGCGAGAGUAAGCUAAUCUCUUAAAGCCGUUCUCAGUUCGGACUGUAGGCUGCAACUCGCCUACACGAAGUCGGAAUCGCUAGUAAUCGCGGAUCAGCAUGCCGCGGUGAAUACGUUCCCGGGCCUUGUACACACCGCCCGUCA